AGUGAACGCUGGCGGUAGACCUAACACAUGCAAGUCGAACGGCAGCACAGUAAGAGCUUGCUCUUACGGGUGGCGAGUGGCGGACGGGUGAGGAAUACAUCGGAAUCUACUUUUUCGUGGGGGAUAACGUAGCGAAACUUACGCUAAUACCGCAUACGACCUACGGGUGAAAGCAGGGGAUCUUCGGACCUUGCGCGAUUGAAUGAGCCGAUGUCGGAUUAGCUAGUUGGCGGGGUAAAGGCCCACCAAGGCGACGAUCCGUAGCUGGUCUGAGAGGAUGAUCAGCCACACUGGAACUGAGACACGGUCCAGACUCCUACGGGAGGCAGCAGUGGGGAAUAUUGGACAAUGGGCGCAAGCCUGAUCCAGCCAUACCGCGUGGGUGAAGAAGGCCUUCGGGUUGUAAAGCCCUUUUGUUGGGAAAGAAAAGCAGCAGGUUAAUACCCCGCUGUUCUGACGGUACCCAAAGAAUAAGCACCGGCUAACCUCGUG
rnacentral:rRNA from 1 species